rnacentral:rRNA from 1 species
CCUACGGGCGACUGCAGUGGGGAAUAUUGGACAAUGGGGGCAACCCUGAUCCAGCCAUGCCGCGUGUGUGAAGAAGGCCCUCGGGUUGUAAAGCACUUUCAGUGAGGAAGAACGCCUGGUGGUUAAUACCCAUCAGGAAAGACAUCACUCACAGAAGAAGCACCGGCUAACUCCGUGCCAGCAGCCGCGGUAAUACCGAGGGUGCGAGCGUUAAUCGGAAUUACUGGGCGUAAAGCGCGCGUAGGUGGCUUGAUAAGCCGGUUGUGAAAGCCCCGGGCUCAACCUGGGAACGGCAUCCGGAACUGUCAAGCUAGAGUGCAGGAGAGGAAGGUAGAAUUCCCGGUGUAGCGGUGAAAUGCGUAGAGAUCGGGAGGAAUACCAGUGGCGAAGGCGGCCUUCUGGACUGACACUGACACUGAGGUGCGAAAGCGUGGGUAGCAAACAGGAUUAGAUACCCCUGUAGUC